rnacentral:rRNA from 1 species
AGGCGAGGCCGAAAGGCGUAGUCGAUGGGAAACAGGUUAAUAUUCCUGUACUUGGUGUUACUGCGAAGGGGGGACGGAGAAGGCUAUGUUGGCCGGGCGACGGUUGUCCCGGUUUAAGCGUGUAGGCUGGUUUUCCAGGCAAAUCCGGAAAAUCAAGGCUGAGGCGUGAUGACGAGGCACUACGGUGCUGAAGCAACAAAUGCCCUGCUUCCAGGAAAAGCCUCUAAGCAUCAGGUAACAUCAAAUCGUACCCCAAACCGACACAGGUGGUCAGGUAGAGAAUACCAAGGCGCUUGAGAGAACUCGGGUGAAGGAACUAGGCAAAAUGGUGCCGUAACUUCGGGAGAAGGCACGCUGAUAUGUAGGUGAAGUCCCUCGCGGAUGGAGCUGAAAUCAGUCGAAGAUA